rnacentral:rRNA from 1 species
GACGAACGCUGGCGGCGUGCUUAACACAUGCAAGUCGAACGGAAAGGCCCUGCUUUUGUGGGGUGCUCGAGUGGCGAACGGGUGAGUAACACGUGAGUAACCUGCCCUUGACUUUGGGAUAACUUCAGGAAACUGGGGCUAAUACCGGAUAGGAGCUCCUGCUGCAUGGUGGGGGUUGGAAAGUUUCGGCGGUUGGGGAUGGACUCGCGGCUUAUCAGCUUGUUGGUGGGGUAGUGGCUUACCAAGGCUUUGACGGGUAGCCGGCCUGAGAGGGUGACCGGCCACAUUGGGACUGAGAUACAGCCCAGACUCCUACGGGAGGCAGCAGUGGGGAAUAUUGCACAAUGGGCGGAAGCCUGAUGCAGCAACGCCGCGUGCGGGAUGACGGCCUUCGGGUUGGAAACCGCUUUCGCCUGUGACGAAGCGUGAGUGACGGUAAUGGGUAAAGAAGCACCGGCUAACUACGU